AGAGAUGUGUGAUGACGCAUAUCAAUAAGCGGAGGAAAAGAAACUAACAAGGAUUCCCCUAGUAACGGCGAGUGAAGCGGGAAGAGCUCAAAUUUGAAAUCUUCAAGGGUUUCCCUUUACGAAUUGUAGUUUAAAGAAGUGUUUUCUGUUAGAGAGGUUGGUAAAAGUUCUUUGGAAUAGGACAUCAUAGAGGGUGAGAAUCCCGUAUUUGACGUCACUUUCCUAGCUGUUGUGAUACACUUUCAAAGAGUCGGAUUGUUUGGGAAUGCAGUCCAAAAAUGGGUGGUAAAUUUCAUCUAAAGCUAAAUAUUGGCGAGAGACCGAUAGCGAACAAGUACCGUCGAGGGAAAGAUGAAAAGAACUUUGAAAAGAGAGUUAAACAGUACGUGAAAUUGUCAAAAGGGAAGCGUUUGACACCAGUGUUGUUUUUCCGAAAAUCAAUUACGAAUGUUUUGUUUUUGAGAAGUUAUGACUUCAUCGGCUUGCUUCUCUCUUUACGAAACUUUCUUAAUGCACUUUUCGGUUAACAAGUCAACAUCAAUUUCUUUUGCUGUAAAAGGGUAUGAGGAAGGUGGCUUUCUUUUCGGAGAAAGUGUUUAUAGCCUUGUACCUCUGCAAUCGGAGAGAUUGAGGUCUGCAGCGUAGAUCCUUCGGGGUUAGAUACAUUUGUGCUAAGUUAUAGCUUUUCAUAGACAACUUGUUGACUAUGUUAAGUCUUGUAGCUUACUCGCUUAUGCUAUUUUACCUACGCUUAGGAUGUUGACAGCAGUAUAGACUGU
rnacentral:rRNA from 1 species